rnacentral:rRNA from 1 species
CCCCCUCAGUCUCCCCCAAAGACAAACCAACCAAAUCCUUAUGUAACAGACUGAGAGCUACCUAAAGGGGGUACAGCCCCUUUAAAAAAGGAUACAACCUCCACCAGCGGAUAACCUCAUCCUACUCCAAACCCCCGUGGGCCCUAAAGCAGCCACCUCUAAAGAGUGCGUCAAAGCUCCGCAAACAAAAAUCCAAAAACAACGCGAAUCCCUAAACCCAUAGCGGGCUAACCUACAACAGUAGGUGAAUCUAUGCUAAAACGAGUAACUAGGAUACUAAAUCCCCUCAAGCGCCAACUUAAACACCAUUAACAGCACAACCACAAUACCGAACACCCCCCCGACCGAACAUUGAACGCACCCUGUCGAACCAACCCAGGAGCGCACACUAGGAUGAUUAAAAUCUGCAAAAGGAACUCGGCAAACCCAAGACCCGACUGUUUACCAAAAACAUAGCCUUCAGCCAAACAAGUAUUGAAGGUGAUGCCUGCCCAGUGACAUUGUUUAACGGCCGCGGUAUCCUAACCGUGCAAAGGUAGCGCAAUCAAUUGUCCCAUAAAUCGAGACCUGUAUGAAUGGCUAAACGAGGUCUUAACUGUCUCCUGCAGAUAAUCAGUGAAACUGAUCUCUUUGUGCAAAAGCAAAGAUAAACACAUAAGACGAGAAGACCCUGUGGAACUUUAAAAUUAAUAGCCACCUCAACCAACUUACAAACCCAUUAGGCCCACUCCACAAACACUGGCUAACAU